CCCUUUGUGGUGUAGUUGGUAUCACACUCGGCUGUAAUGGAUGUUUCAGAUUACCGAUUGGUCACCGGUUCGACUCCGGUCGAAGGGA
rnacentral:tRNA from 1 species